rnacentral:lncRNA from 1 species
GGGAAGUAAACAGGGCCUGCUCACAGGCGCUCGUCCGCAGAGUUUUUAGGUGCCUGGGCACGCAUAGAAAGCUGCUGGCGCCGACCUCGCAUGGCUACACGGAGAGCUGUAGGCCACGCAUGGCCGCCGGCGGUGAGCUCGCAACACAUAUCUUGAAUUCUUGAUGGCGAGAGACAUCGAAAUCCAGCUUGUCUCCUCUCGCUCUCCAAUUUCCUUGCUAUUUGCCUUGCUUGCUUGCUCCCUGUAUUGGCCUUGGUUGCUUGAAAGCUGGAGGUUUCCAUAAUAUGAGCUUCAUUUUUUAUGUGAAGACACUGCAGGGGGGCAGGGGCGAGGCUGGAGGUGCAGGGCCUGCUAGGCAAGAGGAGCGUGUUGCUCUGGUGCAUCGAGUGCGUGCGAUUCGGCGGAGGGGAGAACUGGGUGCUCAUUGUGAAAGGGCGUCAGAGGAAUAGGAGUAUAAGCAAGCAUCGGCUGGGCACAGAAGAUCCAGAUGCGAAAGAGAAGCAAACGUUGAAUGAUUGGCCAAAUUUAUUUGGAUUCUAGUAGAUAAAAAAACUACAUUGUGAGGUAUAGUUUCUUGACACACUAUCCUA